ACAGACACUGCGAAUGGAUGAGACAAACAGAAAGAGAGAGAGAAGACAAAGAGAGUGUGUGUGUGUGUNNNNNNNNNNNNNNNNNNNNCAAUCCCUUUAAAUAGACACCAUCGGAUGCAGUGGGGGACCGAGAGGAGACAGAGGUGAAAAAGACGGAGGAAGAGAGGGGAAAUCAAGCAUCCGCUGGAGGGGGAUAAUUAGGAAAUGUGCGAGAGGGCGAACAUGUCCAGCUGAGGUCCCCCAGGGCGGCCACCUUGGACCCACACUUUUAUAGCGUUAAGCCAACCAUCACAAGCCAAUAUUUGGAGAGCAACGGUCCGACCCACAGCAGCAGAAAGGAUGGGAAUGAAAUAUAUUGCAGUGACACUGCCACAUUCACUGGAGAAGUCCUUGGUAUAGAUUUCCAAGUAAACUUUUUAACCUUUAUCUAUCUGGGGAAAUAUAAACCCUGCUUAACAUUUACUCAGUAACACGCCUGGGUACUGAAAAGUUUACUCCAAAUAUACGUGGGUAAAAAGAUUUGUUAAUUAGUUGGCUAAUUCGCUAAUUAGAUCCCCUGUUACCACCAGAGUUAGCAAGGCUGUGCUUUUUGGGAACAGAGCGUGCCGUGAACCAAUCAAAAAGCUUGGUUGAAACAAUAACAAACAAUAAAUGCUGUGUGCUGUCCACUGGGCAACACAAGCUUUCCCUCAAUCUUUAAAAAGCUUCACCGCCCUCAGAGUUGUUACAUAACACCUCAAAAAGCAACACUCUCUGAUGUAACAGCUCCAAGGGUAGAAGGCUCUCAAUCUGUAAAUUACUAACUUGAUUUAAUUUUGUGUCUGAAAAUGAUUGAGAUGUAAUUAGUAUGAAGUCAAAACUAAACACUUGGCCUGCAGCCUCAGUGUCUUUUGGGAGAAAAAUAAUAGGUUAAUUUGUAAGAUAUUACAUCAUUUAAUUAUAGACACUGGAGUUCAGGUUGAGGUCGCAUUAGAUGCAUAAUAGAUAACCUGCUGCAUAUGACUUUCUUGAAAUUAGAGUACGCUGGUGUCUUUGCAUGUUUUAUUGAACAUUUUGUAUGACAGUUUUGAGAAGUAUCUUCCCAGCUUCUGUUAGUUUCCUUUUAUUUCCAAUACGCCACAAAAAUGAACUUGCAGAG
rnacentral:lncRNA from 15 species